rnacentral:rRNA from 1 species
GACGGGGGGGGCAAGUGUUCUUCGGAAUGACUGGGCGUAAAGGGCACGUAGGCGGUGAAUCGGGUUGAAAGUGAAAGUCGCCAAAAAGUGGCGGAAUGCUCUCGAAACCAAUUCACUUGAGUGAGACAGAGGAGAGUGGAAUUUCGUGUGUAGGGGUGAAAUCCGUAAAUAUCGUAAGGAAGACCAGUGGCGAAGGCGGGUCUCUGGACAGUUCCUGACGCUGAGGCACGAAGGCCAGGGGAGCAAACGGG